CUGACGCCGGGCCCUGCUCCCCAAGGGAUCCCACCUGGAGCUGCCCACAGAGAUGGAGCCUCAUAGUGUGCUGCAGGCUAGCUCAAGUUCCUGGGCUCAGGUGACCCUCUCUCUGCAGCCAUCCAGGAGUGGGAGGAACAGGCUGCCAUGACUGUGUUUCCUGAAAGUCAGAGCCUCUUUUCCUGGUUCUGCAGUGAUCAGU